UUUGUUGCCAGCGAUUAGGUCGGGAACUCAAAGGAGACUGCCAGUGAUAAACUGGAGGAAGGUGGGGAUGACGUCAAGUCAUCAUGGCCCUUACGACCAGGGCUACACACGUGCUACAAUGGCGCAUACAAAGAGAAGCGACCUCGCGAGAGCAAGCGGACCUCAUAAAGUGCGUCGUAGUCCGGAUUGGAGUCUGCAACUCGACUCCAUGAAGUCGGAAUCGCUAGUAAUCGUGGAUCAGAAUGCCACGGUGAAUACGUUCCCGGGCCUUGUACACACCGCCCGUCACACCAUGGGAGUGGGUUGCAAAAGAAGUAGGUAGCUUAACCUUCGGGAGGGCGCUUACCACUUUGUGAUUCAUGACUGGGGUGAAGUCGUAACAAGGUAACCGUAGGGGAACCUGCGGUUGGAUCACCUCCUUACCUUAAAGAA
rnacentral:rRNA from 1 species